rnacentral:rRNA from 1 species
UACGAAGGGGGCUAGCGUUGCUCGGAAUCACUGGGCGUAAAGGGCGUGUAGGCGGGUAGGUAAGUCGGGCGUGAAAUCCCUAGGCUCAACCUAGGAACUGCACUCGAAACUGUUUAUCUUGAGUGCCGGAGAGGAAAGCGGAAUUCCUGGUGUAGAGGUGAAAUUCGUAGAUAUCAGGAGGAACACCAGUGGCGAAGGCGGCUUUCUGGACGGUAACUGACGCUGAGACGCGAAAGCGUGGGGAGCAAACAGG